rnacentral:sRNA from 1 species
GGGUACGCGACCCCUCGGGGCCGGGGUCCCGGCCCCCCCUCCCCGCGCGCAGCCGCAGGGUCCUCAGCAGCGCGCUCGGGCCCGGCAGUGACGUCACUGUCCCCGUCCCGCGCCCCCUCCCCCAGGCCACCCGUACAUCAUGACCGUGGGCUGCGUGGCGGGCGACGAGGAGUCCUACGAAGUGUUCAAGGAUCUCUUCGACCCCAUCAUCGAGGACCGGCACGGCGGCUACAAGCCCAGCGAUGAGCACAAGACCGACCUCAACCCCGACAACCUGCAGGUGCGGGGCGGCGGGCGGGCCGGGCGGGCGGUGCCGGGGUCUUCGGGCGCUCACUCCCGUCUCGCCCCCCAGGGCGGCGACGACCUGGACCCCAACUACGUGCUGAGCUCGCGGGUGCGCACGGGCCGCAGCAUCCGUGGCUUCUGCCUCCCCCCGCACUGCAGCCGCGGGGAGCGCCGCGCCAUCGAGAAGCUCGCGGUGGAAGCCCUGUCCAGCCUGGACGGCGACCUGGCGGGCCGGUACUACGCGCUCAAGAGUAUGACGGAGGCGGAGCAGCAGCAGCUCAUCGACGACCACUUCCUCUUCGACAAGCCCGUGUCGCCCCUGCUGCUGGCCUCGGGCAUGGCCCGCGACUGG